rnacentral:rRNA from 1 species
AGUGAACGCUGGCGGCAGGCCUAACACAUGCAAGUCGAGCGGCAGCGCGGGGGCAACCCUGGCGGCGAGCGGCGGACGGGUGAGGAAUACAUCGGAAUCUACCCAGUCGUGGGGGAUAACGUAGGGAAACUUACGCUAAUACCGCAUACGACCUGAGGGUGAAAGCAGGGGACCGCAAGGCCUUGCGCGAUUGGAUGAGCCGAUGUCUGAUUAGCUAGUUGGUGAGGUAAAGGCUCACCAAGGCGACGAUCGGUAGCUGGUCUGAGAGGAUGAUCAGCCACACUGGAACUGAGACACGGUCCAGACUCCUACGGGAGGCAGCAGUGGGGAAUAUUGGACAAUGGGCGCAAGCCUGAUCCAGCCAUGCCGCGUGUGUGAAGAAGGCCUCGGGUUGUAAAGCACUUUUGUGGGGAAGAAAUCUUCCAGGUUAAUACCCUGGGAGGCUGACGGUACCCAAAGAAUAAGCACCGGCUAACUUCGUGCCAGCAGCCGCGGUAAUACGAAGGGUGCAAGCGUUACUCGGAAUUACUGGGCGUAAAGCGUGCGUAGGUGGUUCGUUAAGUCUGCCGUGAAAGCCCCGGGCUCAACCUGGGAAUGGCGGUGGAUACUGGCGGACUAGAGUGCGGUAGAGGGUGGUGGAAUUCCCGGUGUAGCAGUGAAAUGCGUAGAGAUCGGGAGGAACAUCUGUGGCGAAGGCGGCCACCUGGACCAGCACUGACACUGAGGCACGAAAAGCGUGGGGGAGCAAAACAGGAUUAGAUACCCUGGUA